GACUGGAUAGCCUAGUGGUAAAGGCACCACAUUGACAAUGUUGAGGUCCCAGGUUCAAAUCCUGGUCUAGUUA
rnacentral:tRNA from 1 species